AUUGAACGCUGGCGGCAUGCCUUACACAUGCAAGUCGAACGGUAACAGGUCUUCGGACGCUGACGAGUGGCGAACGGGUGAGUAAUGCAUCGGAACGUGCCCAGUCGUGGGGGAUAACUGCUCGAAAGAGCAGCUAAUACCGCAUACGACCUGAGGGUGAAAGCGGGGGACCGUAAGGCCUCGCGCGAUUGGAGCGGCCGAUGUCAGAUUAGCUAGUUGGUGGGGUAAAGGCCUACCAAGGCAACGAUCUGUAGUUGGUCUGAGAGGACGACCAGCCACACUGGGACUGAGACACGGCCCAGACUCCUACGGGAGGCAGCAGUGGAGAAUUUUGGACAAUGGGCGCAAGCCUGAUCCAGCAAUGCCGCGUGCAGGAAGAAGGCCUUCGGGUUGUAAACUGCUUUUGUCAGGGAAGAAAUCUUCUGGGCUAAUACCCCGGGAGGAUGACGGUACCUGAAGAAUAAGCACCGGCUAACUACGUG
rnacentral:rRNA from 1 species